rnacentral:rRNA from 1 species
ACUCAGGGAGGUAGUGACCAGAAAUAACGACGACGGGUUUCGAUUCGUCGAUUGCAAUGAGCACAAUGUAAAAUUCUUAGCGAGUACCGACUGGAGGGCAAGUCUGGUGCCAGCAGCCGCGGUAAUUCCAGCUCCAGUAGCGUAUAUUAAAGUUGUUGCAGAUAAAAAGCUCGUAGUUGGACGUCUCUGCGACACGCAGCUCCGCCACGCAACUAGGUUCGUCCUUAAUUGAACGGCCUAGACCUGCGGGCCCUUUACCUUGAGGAAACUAGAGUGUUUAAGGCAGGCUGAGCCUGAAUACUGCAGCUGGGAAUAAUGCGCACGACUGUCUUGGCGAGGCAGCUCCACACUUUUAAUAGGAACAGUUGGGGGCAUUCGUACUCAGCAGUCAGAGGUGAAAUUCUUGGAUUUGCUGAAGACGGACUAAUGCGAAAGCAUUUGCCAAGGAUGUUUUCAUUAAUCAAGAACGAAAGUUAAGGGAUCCAAGACGAUCAGAUACCGUCCUAGUCUUAACCAUAAACGAUGCCGACUAGGGAUCGGGAGAGACGUACAAACUCUCUCGGCACCUCACGAGAAAUCCAAGUCUUUGGGUUCUGGGGGGAGUAUGGUCGCAAGACUGAAACUUAAAGGAAUUGACGGAAGGGCACCACAAGGAGUGGAGCCUGCGGCUUAAUUUGACCCAACACGGGGAAACUUACCAGGUCCAGACAUAGUGAGGAUUGACAGAUUGACAGCUCUUUCUUGAUCCUAUGGGUGGUGGUGCAUGGCCGUUCCUAGUUGGUGGAGUGAUCUGUCUGGUUAAUUCCGAUAACGAACGAGACCUCAGCCUGCUAACUAGAUCUUCUUAGAGGGACUUCCUGCUCGCGUGGGAGGAAGUGAGGCAAUAACAGGUCUGUGAUGCCCUUAGAUGUCCUGGGCCGCACGCGCGCUACACUGACGCAACCUGCAAGUUCCAAGCCUGUCAAGGCCUGGCAAACUGCCAACUGCGUCGUAGUUGGAACUGACCCUUGCAAUUCUUGGUCACGAACCAGGAAUUCCUAGUAAGCGCAAGUCAUCAGCUUGCACUGACUAAGUCCCUGCCCUUUGUACACACCGCCCGUCGCUCCUACCGAUUCCGAGUGAUCAGGUGAACCUCUCGGACCCUGAAAGUUAAGUGAACCUUAUCACUUAGA